rnacentral:rRNA from 2 species
GCAGCCUGAUGCAGCAACGCCGCGUGAGGGAUGACGGCCUUCGGGUUGUAAACCUCUUUUAGCAGGGAAGAAGCGAAAGUGACGGUACCUGCAGAAAAAGCGCCGGCUAACUACGUGCCAGCAGCCGCGGUAAUACGUAGGGCGCAAGCGUUAUCCGGAAUUAUUGGGCGUAAAGAGCUCGUAGGCGGUUUGUCGCGUCUGCUGUGAAAUCCGGAGGCUCAACCUCCGGCCUGCAGUGGGUACGGGCAGACUAGAGUGCGGUAGGGGAGAUUGGAAUUCCUGGUGUAGCGGUGGAAUGCGCAGAUAUCAGGAGGAACACCGAUGGCGAAGGCAGAUCUCUGGGCCGUAACUGACGCUGAGGAGCGAAAGGGUGGGGAGCAAACAGGCUUAGAUACCCUGGUAGUCCACCCCGUAAACGUUGGGAACUAGUUGUGGGGUCCAUUCCACGGAUUCCGUGACGCAGCUAACGCAUUAAGUUCCCCGCCUGGGGAGUACGGCCGCAAGGCUAAAACUCAAAGGAAUUGACGGGGACCCGCACAAGCGGCGGAGCAUGCGGAUUAAUUCGAUGCAACGCGAAGAACCUUACCAAGGCUUGACAUAUACGAGAACGGGCCAGAAAUGGUCAACUCUUUGGACA